UAGUGGCGAACGGGUGAGUAACACGUGGGCAAUCUGCCCUUCACUCUGGGACAAGCCCUGGAAACGGGGUCUAAUACCGGAUAACACUCCUGCCUGCAUGGGUGGGGGUUAAAAGCUCCGGCGGUGAAGGAUGAGCCCGCGGCCUAUCAGCUUGUUGGUGAGGUAGUGGCUCACCAAGGCGACGACGGGUAGCCGGCCUGAGAGGGCGACCGGCCACACUGGGACUGAGACACGGCCCAGACUCCUACGGGAGGCAGCAGUGGGGAAUAUUGCACAAUGGGCGAAAGCCUGAUGCAGCGACGCCGCGUGAGGGAUGACGGCCUUCGGGUUGUAAACCUCUUUCAGCAGGGAAGAAGCGAAAGUGACGGUACCUGCAGAAGAAGCGCCGGCUAACUACGUGCCAGCAGCCGCGGUAAUACGUAGGGCGCAAGCNGUUGUCCGGAAUUAUUGGGCGUAAAGAGCUCGUAGGCGGCUUGUCACGUCGGUUGUGAAAGCCCGGGGCUUAACCCCGGGUCUGCAGUCGAUACGGNCAGGCUAGAGUGUGGUAGGGGAGAUCGGAAUUCCU
rnacentral:rRNA from 1 species